CCUACGGGUGGCUGCAGUCGAGAAUCAUUCACAAUGGGGGAAACCCUGAUGGUGCGACGCCGCGUGGGGGAAUGAAGGUCUUCGGAUUGUAAACCCCUGUCAUGUGGGAGCAAAUUAAAAAGAUAGUACCACAAGAGGAAGAGACUGCUAACUCUGUGCCAGCAGCCGCGGUAAUACAGAGGUCUCAAGCGUUGUUCGGAAUCACUGGGCGUAAGGCGUGCGGAGGCUGUUUCGUAAGUCGUGUGUGAAAGGCGCGGGCUCAACCCGCGGACGGCACAUGAUACUGCGAGACUAGAGUAAUGGAGGGGGAACCGGAAUUCUCGGUGUAGCAGUGAAAUGCGUAGAUAUCGAGAGGAACACUCGUGGCGAAGGCGGGUUCCUGGACAUUAACUGACGCUGAGGCACGAAGGCCAGGGGAGCGAAAGGGAUUAGAUACCCUGGUAGUC
rnacentral:rRNA from 1 species